CGGGGCGUGGCGCAGCUUGGCUAGCGUGCUUGACUGGGGGUCAAGAGGUCGCGAGUUCGAAUCUCGCCGCCCCGA
rnacentral:tRNA from 1 species